rnacentral:rRNA from 1 species
GAAUAUUGGACAAUGGGCGCAAGCCUGAUCCAGCCAUGCCGCGUGUGUGAAGAAGGCCUUCGGGUUGUAAAGCACUUUCAGCGAGGAGGAAGGGUUGGUCGUUAAUAGCGGCCAACUUUGACGUUACUCGCAGAAGAAGCACCGGCUAACUCUGUGCCAGCCGCCGCGGUAAUACAGAGGGUGCAAGCGUUAAUCGGAAUUACUGGGCGUAAAGCGCACGUAGGCGGUUUGUUAAGUUGGAUGUGAAAGCCCCGGGCUCAACCUGGGAAUUGCAUUCAAAACUGGCCAACUAGAGUAUGUGAGAGGGGGGUAGAAUUCCAAGUGUAGCGGUGAAAUGCGUAGAGAUUUGGAGGAAUACCAGUGGCGAAGGCGGCCCCCUGGCACAAUACUGACGCUGAGGUGCGAAAGCGUGGGGAGCAAACAGG